UCAAAACUGUGCAGAACACUGGGGAGGAGGAGGACUGGAGAGCUGUGUGACGAAUGUACAUCUGAACAAGAGUAGCCGAAGAAGAAUAACUUCUGGUGCUUGGCAGUUGAGGUAAUACACACAAGGGAAGAUGGAGAUUUCCCACUCUGGGGUAGGAGGUUUGGAAUUACCUACUAUAUUCAGCUGCCACUACUUGGAAAGAGUGAGGACAACACCAAGACUGCCUCUUCCAGCAAUGAAAUCUGAUGACCCUUAAAAUUAGAUUGGGAACCUGUGAACUUAAUGAUCACCUUCAGUUGUAAACGGUGCUAACUGUAGGAGUAAAGCAAUCAUUAAAAGCUGUAAACAGAGGGUCCUGCUACAUCUUUUCUGAUUGUAUGUGCUGGAGUCAGAUGGACCCAUUUGGUUCUGGGGACCUGUCAGUUGAAAACGCUUCUCUACGACAUUCACCUGAAAGUGACAGCUCAGAGAGAAAUAGGUUUGAACUUGCAUGGAUAGUCCUUGUAUUAUUUUCAUGUGAAUGGCAGAAUGAAGUAAUUUGUGAUUGUAGAUAGUGCAUGAAGCAAUUACCAGAAAUAUGGUAUUUUGGCCCAAGGAAAUUCAUGUUCAGGCAAUAAUUUCAAAUGUUUUAAAUUCUACACUUCUGUAGUAGGUGACACAAAAUCCUUUUUUAGUAAUGAUUAUAUCACCAAGUCUGUCCUUGCAUGCCCUUCCUUGUUAGCUAUUCAAGCAUUAAGAUUUAUGAACCUUGUC